UCUCUGUCUUGAAGAGAUGUAGUAGCACACAAGCCAAGAGUGUACUAUAGACAUGGGGCCGUGCAAGGUGCAAUGAAAACACUUUUAUUUUAUAAGCCAACAGGAUACACCAUUUGCUCUGCUCUGUCCUUUUGCUUAGAUGACAAAUUCUAUCUAGUAAUUUGAAUGUCAGAUUUUUUUAAAAGUUAAUUAUUUGGAAGACAGAGUGACACAGAGAGAGAAAUACAGAUAAAGAGAGAAAAGUCUUCUAUCCUUGGGUUUACUCCCUGAAUGGCCACAACCACCAGGGCUGGGCCAGGCCAAAGUCAGUAACUCCAUCUCUGUUUCCUACAUGGUUUGCAGGGUCCCAAGUGCUUGGAGCAACUCCUGCUGGGUUUAUAGGUGCAUUAGCACAGAGCUGGGUCAGAAAUGCAGCAUCCAGGACUCAGACUGGAUCUCUGACAUGGGAUGCCAGUGUUUCAAGUGGUGAUACAACUCCUGCCAGAAAUUUUUGAAGUUCUGAAAAACUUGAGAGAUAUUGUUUUUUGUUUGUUUGUUUGUUUUUGUUGUUUGUUUGUUUGUUUUUGUUCUUUUUUUUUUUUGACAGGCAGAGUGGACAAUGAGAGAGAGAGAGACAAAGAGAAAGGUCUUUCCUUUUCCGUCGGUUCACCCCGCAAUGGCCGCUGCAGCCGGCGCACCGCGCUGAUCCGAUGGCAGGAGCCAGGUGCUUCUCCUGGUCUGCCAUGCGGGUGUAGGGCCCAAGCACUUGGGCCAUCCUCCACUGCACUCCCGGGCCACAGCAGAGAGCUGGACUGGAAGAGGAGCAACGAGGACAGAAUCUGGCGCCCCGACCAGGACUAGAACCCGGUGUGCUGGCACCACAGGUGGAGAAUUAGCCUAUUGAGCCGUGGCGCCAGCCAAGAGAGAUAUUGGUUUUUAAAAGCACUAUGAAAUUAUGAUAUUUAAUGAAAAUAUUUAUACUCUAUAAACAAUUACUUUGAUGGCCUACCUAUUUCAAGUGGCUACUGCUGCACAGAAUGAACUUAUAUGUGAUUUAUACUGUUUCAUAGUGCAACCGCCUCUUGUUUGUGAAUUUCAGUAUCAUUUUCUAAACCCAGUAGACAUUGUGUUAUAUUUUCCAAAUGAGUUUCCAAAACUUGUUGAUUUUAACAAUAUUUCUUUCUAACAACCUUUUUCUGGAAAGAAUAUUUCCUUUACCAUUAAAAAAGUAUGUAUUUGCUGUUCUCAUCUUGGCUGAUUUCAUACGGGGUUUUCCCUAUUGUAGAAUGACUACAAACCUCAAAUAUGGCCAAGGGUAAAUGAAUACUGGCCAAUUUGGUUAGCUAAAAUAUAACUUCAUGUACAAAACAUCAACUUUUUAAAUUGGUUUUCAAUGAUUCCUUCAGUAGGAUGUGUGAAUAUUCAACAAACGCCAUCAGUAUUAUGGGUAUAGAUCACCUGGCACAUUGUAAGUGGUAAAUGAACUUUGUUGAAUGAAAUACCCAGGAUGUUAUGGAGGAACCUCACAGGCAUAAUGCAACAAUGUAGAACUAAAAAGAAACUAAAUAAAAAGAGCUACAAAAAGUUACA
ensembl:lncRNA